rnacentral:rRNA from 1 species
GACGAACGCUGGCGGCGUGCUUAACACAUGCAAGUCGAACGAUGAAGCCGGAGCUUGCUCUGGUGAAUUAGUGGCGAACGGGUGAGUAACACGUGAGUAACCUGCCCUUGACUCUGGGAUAACUGCUAGAAAUGGUAGCUAAUACCGGAUACGACCCUCGGAGGCAUCUUCAGGGGGUGGAAAGAAUUUCGGUCAAGGAUGGACUCGCGGCCUAUCAGCUAGUUGGUGAGGUAAGGGCUCACCAAGGCGACGACGGGUAGCCGGCCUGAGAGGGUGACCGGCCACACUGGGACUGAGACACGGCCCAGACUCCUACGGGAGGCAGCAGUGGGGAAUAUUGCACAAUGGGCGCAAGCCUGAUGCAGCAACGCCGCGUGAGGGAUGACGGCCCUCGGGUUGUAAACCUCUUUUAGUAGGGAAGAAGCGAAAGUGACGGUACCUGCAGAAAAAGCACCGGCUAACUACGUGCCAGCCGCCGCCGUAA